GACGAACGCUGGCGGCGUGCUUAACACAUGCAAGUCGAACGGAAAGGCCCUGCUUUUGUGGGCUGCUGGGGGGGCGAACGGGGGAGUAACACGUGAGUAACCUGCCCUUGACUUUGGGAUAACUUCAGGAAACUGGAGCUAAUACCGGAUAGGAGCUCCUGCUGCUGGGUGGGGGGUGGAUAGUUUCGGCGGUUGGGGAUGGAAUGGCGGCUUAUCGGCUUGUUGGUUGGGUAGUGGCUGACCAAGGCUUUGCCGGGUAGCCGGCCUGAGAGGGUGACCGGCCACACUACGCCUGAGCUACGACCCAGACUCGUACGGUAGGCAACGGUGGGGAGUAUGGUACAGUGAGAGGGAGCCUGGUGCGGCCACGCCACGUGCGGGAUGACGGCCUGCGGGUUGUGAACCGAUGUCGCCUGAGACGAAGCGUGAAUGACGGUACCGGGUAAAUAAGCACCGGCUAACUCCGUG
rnacentral:rRNA from 1 species